rnacentral:rRNA from 1 species
UACGUAGGGUGCAAGCGUUAUCCGGAAUUAUUGGGCGUAAAGCGCGCGCAGGCGGUUUUUCAAGUCAGUGGUGAAAGCCCGGAGCUCAACUCCGGAACUGCCAUUGAAACUGUAAAACUUGAGGAUGAGAGAGGUGAGUGGAAUUCCCAGUGUAGAGGUGAAAUUCGUAGAUAUUGGGAAGAACACCGGUGGCGAAGGCGGCUCACUGGCUCAUUUCUGACGCUCAGGCGCGACAGCGUGGGGAUCAAACAGG